rnacentral:lncRNA from 14 species
AUUUUGUUCACCUUGACUUUAUGUGUUUGAAGGCUAAAAUAAACCUUCUGUGGCACAUGUACAGGAGCUAAUGAAUUAACUCCAGUGACCAGCUUUACACUGGGUCAAACCUAAUGCAUUGGUACACUUACAGUCUAGCAGCUUAGAUUUACUUUCAAAACAAACAUCUCAAAUGUGCCAUUAGGAGGCUAAAAUACACCCACUGGCAAGGCCUGCGCCCCAAUAAUGUGUUCACCUGAGUGCUAAGCUGAGUCAAAGGGAUCCUGCUAAAAGCAACGCUGUGCCAAGUGCAGUGGCAAAGGAUUUGUCUCACAGUUUUUGCAGUAACUUGCUAUAGUCUGUCAAUGUUUGCUCAGUCGCACCUAGUCAAACUGGUUUACAUUGUCUCCUGCCUCAUCAUUUGAGGGCCCCCACUUGCUGCAGCAGUGGAGACAGCUUUGAAUGAAUCACACUAUUCCAAGAAUCACUGAAAACCUUGUCACAUGGGCAACCCGCAGCACAGGAGCUGCCAGAAUGAUGCAGUGACUAAGGAGGCUGAUGUGAUCCCUGGAUGUAGAAUACCUUCUGUAGGAGGAAAGAGCAUUAGGCCCAGACAGCGGUUGAAAACCACAGCUCAGUUGGCGAUGAGCACUGUGCAGCAGCGGAAGCGUGUGGAAAAAUUCUGGCUGACUCAUCCAUAA